rnacentral:rRNA from 1 species
AGUGAAAUAGAACCUGAAACCGUGUGCUUACAAGUAGUCAGAGCCCGUUAAUGGGUGAUGGCGUGCCUUUUGUAGAAUGAACCGGCGAGUUACGAUUUGAUGCAAGGUUAAGCAGUAAAUGUGGAGCCGUAGCGAAAGCGAGUCUGAAUAGGGCGUUUAGUAUUUGGUCGUAGACCCGAAACCAGGUGAUCUACCCUUGGUCAGGUUGAAGUUCAGGUAACACUGAAUGGAGGACCGAACCGACUUACGUUGAAAAGUGAGCGGAUGAACUGAGGGUAGCGGAGAAAUUCCAAUCGAACCUGGAGAUAGCUGGUUCUCUCCGAAAUAGCUUUAGGGCUAGCCUCAAGUGAUGAUUAUUGGAGGUAGAGCACUGUUUGGACGAGGGGCCCCUCUCGGGUUACCGAAUUCAGACAAACUCCGAAUGCCAAUUAAUUUAACUUGGGAGUCAGAACAUGGGUGAUAAGGUCCGUGUUCGAAAGGGAAACAGCCCAGACCACCAGCUAAGGUCCCAAAAUAUAUGUUAAGUGGAAAAGGAUGUGGCGUUGCCCAGACAACUAGGAUGUUGGCUUAGAAGCAGCCAUCAUUUAAAGAGUGCGUAAUAGCUCACUAGUCGAGUGACACUGCGCCGAAAAUGUACCGGGGCUAAACAUAUUACCGAAGCUGUGGAUUGUCCUUUGGACAAUGGUAGGAGAGCGUUCUAAGGGCGUUGAAGCAUGAUCGUAAGGACAUGUGGAGCGCUUAGAAGUGAGAAUGCCGGUGUGAGUAGCGAAAGACGGGUGAGAAUCCCGUCCACCGAUUGACUAAGGUUUCCAGAGGAAGGCUCGUCCGCUCUGGGUUAGUCGGGUCCUAAGCUGAGGCCGACAGGCGUAGGCGAUGGAUAACAGGUUGAUAUUCCUGUACCACCUAUAAUCGUUUUAAUCGAUGGGGGGACGCAGUAGGAUAGGCGAAGCGUGCGAUUGGAUUGCACGUCUAAGCAGUAAGGCUGAGUAUUAGGCAAAUCCGGUACUCGUUAAGGCUGAGCUGUGAUGGGGAGAAGACAUUGUGUCUUCGAGUCGUUGAUUUCACACUGCCGAGAAAAGCCUCUAGAUAGAAAAUAGGUGCCCGUACCGCAAACCGACACAGGUAGUCAAGAUGAGAAUUCUAAGGUGAGCGAGCGAACUCUCGUUAAGGAACUCGGCAAAAUGACCCCGUAACUUCGGGAGAAGGGGUGCUCUUUAGGGUUAACGCCCAGAAGAGCCGCAGUGAAUAGGCCCAAGCGACUGUUUAUCAAAAACACAGGUCUCUGCUAAACCGUAAGGUGAUGUAUAGGGGCUGACGCCUGCCCGGUGCUGGAAGGUUAAGAGGAGUGGUUAGCUUCUGCGAAGCUACGAAUCGAAGCCCCAGUAAACGGCGGCCGUAACUAUAACGGUCCUAAGGUAGCGAAAUUCCUUGUCGGGUAAGUUCCGACCCGCACGAAAGGCGUAACGAUUUGGGCACUGUCUCAACGAGAGACUCGGUGAAAUCAUAGUACCUGUGAAGAUGCAGGUUACCCGCGACAGGACGGAAAGACCCCGUGGAGCUUUACUGUAGCCUGAUAUUGAAAUUCGGCACAGCUUGUACAGGAUAGGUAGGAGCCUUUGAAACGUGAGCGCUAGCUUACGUGGAGGCGCUGGUGGGAUACUACCCUAGCUGUGUUGGCUUUCUAACCCGCACCACUUAUCGUGGUGGGAGACAGUGUCAGGCGGGCAGUUUGACUGGGGCGGUCGCCUCCUAAAAGGUAACGGAGGCGCUCAAAGGUUCCCUCAGAAUGGUUGGAAAUCAUUCAUAGAGUGUAAAGGCAUAAGGGAGCUUGACUGCGAGACCUACAAGUCGAGCAGGGUCGAAAGACGGACUUAGUGAUCCGGUGGUUCCGCAUGGAAGGGCCAUCGCUCAACGGAUAAAAGCUACCCCGGGGAUAACAGGCUUAUCUCCCCCAAGAGUUCACAUCGACGGGGAGGUUUGGCACCUCGAUGUCGGCUCAUCGCAUCCUGGGGCUGUAGUCGGUCCCAAGGGUUGGGCUGUUCGCCCAUUAAAGCGGUACGCGAGCUGGGUUCAGAACGUCGUGAGACAGUUCGGUCCCUAUCCGUCGUGGGCGUAGGAAAUUUGAGAGGAGCUGUCCUUAGUACGAGAGGACCGGGAUGGACAUACCUCUGGUGUACCAGUUGUCGUGCCAACGGCAUAGCUGGGUAGCUAUGUGUGGACGGGAUAAGUGCUGAAAGCAUCUAAGCAUGAAGCCCCCCUCAAGAUGAGAUUUCCCAACUUCGGUUAU